CCGACCCGCACGAAAGGCGUAACGAUUUGGGCACUGUCUCAACGAGAGACUCGGUGAAAUCAUAGUACCUGUGAAGAUGCAGGUUACCCGCGACAGGACGGAAAGACCCCGUGGAGCGUUACUGUAGUCUGAUAUUGAAAUUCGUCACAGCUUGUACAGGAUAGGUAGGAGCCUUUGAUACGUGAGCGCUAGCUUACGUGGAGGCGUUGUUGGGAUACUACCCUCGCUGUGUUGGAUUUCUAACC
rnacentral:rRNA from 1 species